rnacentral:lncRNA from 1 species
UGGAUUUUGGAGAUGGUUGGAUCCAGAGCUAAGUACGUACUAUAAGUUGAGCAUGAACAAUAUAAUUCUUCAGAGAGAUAAAGCUUAUGAGGAGCUCAAAUUUUGCAACCUUAUGGGAGAAAGGAAAUCUAAAAAGUGUGAAGAUUUCAUAACAAUGUUUGAGGUGAAGUGUGCAGAGGUGGAAGUGAUGAAGAUUGUGAUGAAGGGACCAAGAGCUUCAAACUAGAAAACUGG